CGUGGUCAGCAUCGUCGAUAUGGAACAGAUUUACGGUGAGGCAUGGAUAUCACUUUGGGACAAGAUUGCCUCGUUACAGACAAUCGUCAGGACACCACAGAUGGGGGUACAGGUCAAGAUGGUUUGGAUGAAAGCACGGACGGAAAAGCAAGUAUUACCAUGAUGACUAGACGGACCACCCCAGAAGCAACUAUGUAAAGCCCGCCCAAACGAUCCAAA